UCAGCGGCAGCAGAGUGGGUGAGAGUCCAACCUGGGCCUGGGCGCCGGGCUUAAGCCGGCAGCGCCAGGCGGGGAUUUCAGAAGACUGUCUGCGCCGCAAGGGCACUGCAUGCCCGGAAGCUGCGGCACUUCCCGAUUUUCCGCGGCUCUAUAAGGAGUAGCGCUUCGGUAGCCGGGGAGCUGGAGGGGAACCUGAUUUGAGAUCAAUUCUUGGAGAACACAAAGAAGUGUGGUGGUAUGUUCCAGGCACUGAUGUAUGAAAUCCCGAACGAAUUCUCCGAUGAACAUACUGCUAAUUGCUUCUCCACCUGCUCUCCAACCUCCGCCACC
rnacentral:lncRNA from 1 species